AGCUGUGACAUCCCUACCACUCACCGAGAAGAAUGACCCAGUCUAUGGUAACAUCACAGAUCCACAAAGAGACCAAGAGAGCAAGGGGGGUCGAACAGGGCAAGAUGACAAUGAGGAAGUUCAUUACUCCAAAUUUGCUUUUGUUGAACCCAGGCUUGGUGAUCCCAACAGAGUCACAUCAGGGUCAAAUCAGGAAGGUGAUGCUGUGAUCUAUUCCACGCUCAACAUAUAAAGAAACCUGUCUUUCAGCAGGAUAAAACAACUGUGUUAAAAUGCA